rnacentral:rRNA from 1 species
UACGUAGGGUCCGAGCGUUGUCCGGAAUUAUUGGGCGUAAAGGGCUCGUAGGCGGUCUGUUGCGUCGGGAGUGAAAACUUACAGCUUAACUGUGAGCGUGCUUUCGAUACGGGCAGACUUGAGGCAUUCAGAGGAGACUGGAAUUCCCGGUGUAGCGGUGAAAUGUGUAGAGAUCGGGAGGAACACCGGUGGCGAAGGCGGGUCUCUGGGCAAUUCCUGACGCUGAGGCGCGAAAGCGUGGGGAGCAAACGGG